UCGGACGUGGGGUAUGGUGCCCAUCUGCUUUAAAUGAGGCAGAGGUAUGAAAACAUUCAGCAGGAACCUCGGGUUCGAUUCCCGGCGUCUGAA